GUAAAAGUAGCUCAGUGAUUAGAGCUUAGGGCUUGUGACCACGAGGUCCCGGGCUCGAAUCUUGUCAUUUCUG
rnacentral:tRNA from 1 species